rnacentral:misc_RNA from 1 species
UAUACACAUGUGGUGGAAGUUGUAGUUGUAUGCUCUUAUGUUAAUGUAUACUUUAAGAUGAAAUAUUUAUUUAGAAGUAUUGUCUUUACUGGGAAAAUAUUAGUGAAAAACAAUGUUAACUAUGCAGUAUUUAAUCAAUUAUUGUAUUGUACAUCAAUUAAAUUACCUUGUGCCGUUUAUAGUGUCACAUGUAGGAGGAGCGUGUGUACAGGUUAUGAAAGCACCAAGUCUCGUAUGGUGGAAUUCCAAAAUAUGUUUGGAUGGAGUGAAAAAGAAACGAUGGAAAUACUUAAAGAAAAUCCGAAGCUUAUUAAAAACAGAAUAAACAAUGUAAAAGAUAUAUCGCUUCAUUUAGAAAAAAUAGGUAUAAGCAAGCAAUGUAUAAGCAACUCGCCUUGGUUGUUGUUAAAUUCUUUAAAUACUGUCAAAGUAAAAUUAAAACUUAUUGAAGAAAUAGGUAUUGAUGAAAAUUCUAUACAUUUACUGCCUAUUAGUUGUGAAAAACUGAAAACUGUGAUAAAAGUUUUUAGUAGAAAACCAUUAAAUGAAAAUAUACCGGAAAGAGUUCAAUAUCUGUGCGAAAACCUGGAAGUGAAUGUAGGAAAAUUAUAUGAAUUAAUAGGACAAUAUCCAUUUCUUAUCUAUGUUGAUUUUUCAAAAGUUAAAAAUAUCAUGAAAAUGUUAAAAAAUGCUAAUGUUAGUUCUGAACUUAUUUGUAAAGAUCUGUGGAUUUUUAGACAUAAUGAGGAGAUAAUGGCUCAAAGAAUGAAAACGAUUCAAUUAAUCGGUGCUCCCAUAAAGACUUGGUUACUACGUUCGACAGAAAAAAUUUUUAAUAAUUCGUUAGCGAGGUGGAAGAAGAAAGUUAAAGCAUUAGGAAAACACGAUAAUAUAAUUGACUAUUUGGCAGAAAGAUUGAACUGCAGUAAAGAAUAUAUAUGUGUUUUAAGCGAGAGAAAUCCACGUUUGCUAACUGUUCAUCCAUUGAAAGUAAAAGAGCCCAGUUAUUUGUUUGGAGGUGGGAUGUGGAAGUGGAGUUGUAAUUACGGCUGUUGCCAAAGCUUUAAACAAUUCAGCAUUAUUUAUUGCUACAGACAAAAAUAAAUAUGCCACAGAAGUUACAAAAAUAACUUCAAAACAAAACAAUACUGAAAUUCAAAUUGUUAGAACUGAUUUGGUUGUUGGUUUGCAUGAUCGCCUUCAAAGAAAAAUUGAUUUAAUUUUAUUUAAUCCUCCUUAUGUUGUAACUCCAUCUCAUGAGGUAAUAAUAAUUUUAAGAAUG